GAUAGCUCAGACGGUAGAGCAUGAGACUCUUAAUCUCGGGGUCGUGGGUUUGGGGCAAAAAGAUUCCUGCACCG